CCUACGGGAGGCAGCAGUGAGGAAUAUUGGUCAAUGGCCGGAAGGCUGAACCAGCCAUGCCGCGUGAAGGUCAGUGCCCUAUGGGCGUUAAACUUCUUUUGUGCGGGAGCAAUAAUGGUCACGUGUGGCCAGACGAGAGUACCGUACGAAUAAGCAUCGGCUAACUCCGUGCCAGCAGCCGCGGUAAUACGGGGGAUGCAAGCGUUAUCCGGAUUUAUUGGGUUUAAAGGGUGCGUAGGCUGUGAGGUGAGUCAGCGGUGAAAUGCCCCCGCUCAACGGGGUGAAGUGCCAUUGAUACUGCCUGGCUGGAAUGCGGAUGCCGUGGGAGGAAUGUGUGGUGUAGCGGUGAAAUGCAUAGAUAUCACACAGAACACCGAUUGCGAAGGCAUCUCACGAAUCCGCGAUUGACGCUGAUGCACGAAAGCGUGGGUAUCAAACAGGAUUAGAUACCCUUGUAGUC
rnacentral:rRNA from 1 species